CCAACGAUUACAUGCAGCCAGAAGAGGACUGGGACCGGGACCUGCUCCUGGACCCGGCCUGGGAGAAGCAGCAGAGAAAGAGCUGACCUCUCACCUUUCUGCGAGAGGUGGCCAGGCCGUCUGGACAGGUCACAGACCAGACUCUCAAGGCCACACCUCUCUACAGAUAUUGUUGGGAUCAUCCCAGCCAGUUAACCCCACCUGAGCUGCCUCCAUGUGUAACCCACCUGUGGUUUUCCUGGACUUGGUAUGGAGCCAAAGGGCACCUUCCCCACUGGCCCUGCUUUUAUGCCCUCUUUAGAGUGCAUAGAGAGAUGUUGGUAGGCCCACGUCUCUGCAAGAGGGUCCUGUGUUGGGCUGAGUUACUCGCCAUGGACACUGGUGGGGUCCUGGAACCCACCAGCUGAGAUGGUUGGGGCAGUUCUAGUCUGCACCUCCCCAGAGAGGUCACGGCAGAGAGGCCAGGAGCACAGGAAACCUGCUGAGCCUGCUUCCUUAGUUCUGGCAGAUGGGUCAGCCCCCACAGGACUCAGGAUUCAAUUUAGCCCGGGGUUCUGGCUCC
rnacentral:sRNA from 1 species